AACGAACGCUGGCGGCAGGCUUAACACAUGCAAGUCGAGCGCCCCGCAAGGGGAGCGGCAGACGGGUGAGUAACGCGUGGGAAUCUACCCAUCUCUACGGAAUAACGCAUGGAAACGUGUGCUAAUACCGUAUACGUCCUUCGGGAGAAAGAUUUAUCGGAAAUGGAUGAGCCCGCGUUGGAUUAGCUAGUUGGUGGGGUAAAGGCCUACCAAGGCGACGAUCCAUAGCUGGUCUGAGAGGAUGAUCAGCCACACUGGGACUGAGACACGGCCCAGACUCCUACGGGAGGCAGCAGUGGGGAAUAUUGGACAAUGGGCGCAAGCCUGAUCCAGCCAUGCCGCGUGAGUGAUGAAGGCCCUAGGGUUGUAAGGCUCUUUCACCGGUGAAGAUAAUGACGGUAACCGGAGAAGAAGCCCCGGCUAACUUCGUGCCAGCCGCCGCGGUAAAAC
rnacentral:rRNA from 1 species